rnacentral:rRNA from 1 species
GGGUUGUGAGGUUAAGCGACUAAGCGUACACGGUGGAUGCCUUGGCAGUCAGAGGCGAUGAAGGACGUGCUAAUCUGCGAUAAGCGUCGGUAAGGUGAUAUGAACCGUUAUAACCGGCGAUUUCCGAAUGGGGAAACCCAGUGUGAUUCGUCACACUAUCAUUAACUGAAUCCAUAGGUUAAUGAGGCGAACCGGGGGAACUGAAACAUCUAAGUACCCCGAGGAAAAGAAAUCAACCGAGAUUCCCCCAGUAGCGGCGAGCGAACGGGGAGCAGCCCAGAGCCUGAAUCAGUGUGUGUGUUAGUGGAAGCGUCUGGAAAGGCGUGCGAUACAGGGUAACAGCCCCGUACACAAAAAUGCACAUACUGUGAGCUCGAUGAGUAGGGCGGGACACGUGGUAUCCUGUCUGAAUAUGGGGGGACCAUCCUCCAAGGCUAAAUACUCCUGACUGACCGAUAGUGAACCAGUACCGUGAGGGAAAGGCGAAAAGAACCCCGGCGAGGGGAGUGAAAAAGAACCUGAAACCGUGUACGUACAAGCAGUGGGAGCGCGCUUAGGCGUGUGACUGCGUACCUUUUGUAUAAUGGGUCAGCGACUUAUAUUCUGUAGCAAGGUUAACCGAAUAGGGGAGCCGAAGGGAAACCGAGUCUUAACUGGGCGUUAAGUUGCAGGGUAUAGACCCGAAACCCGGUGAUCUAGCCAUGGGCAGGUUGAAGGUUGGGUAACACUAACUGGAGGACCGAACCGACUAAUGUUGAAAAAUUAGCGGAUGACUUGUGGCUGGGGGUGAAAGGCCAAUCAAACCGGGAGAUAGCUGGUUCUCCCCGAAAGCUAUUUAGGUAGCGCCUCGUGAAUUCAUCUCCGGGGGUAGAGCACUGUUUCGGCAAGGGGGUCAUCCCGACUUACCAACCCGAUGCAAACUGCGAAUACCGGAGAAUGUUAUCACGGGAGACACACGGCGGGUGCUAACGUCCGUCGUGAAGAGGGAAACAACCCAGACCGCCAGCUAAGGUCCCAAAGUCAUGGUUAAGUGGGAAACGAUGUGGGAAGGCCCAGACAGCCAGGAUGUUGGCUUAGAAGCAGCCAUCAUUUAAAGAAAGCGUAAUAGCUCACUGGUCGAGUCGGCCUGCGCGGAAGAUGUAACGGGGCUAAACCAUGCACCGAAGCUGCGGCAGCGACGCUUAUGCGUUGUUGGGUAGGGGAGCGUUCUGUAAGCCUGUGAAGGUGUGCUGUGAGGUAUGCUGGAGGUAUCAGAAGUGCGAAUGCUGACAUAAGUAACGAUAAAGCGGGUGAAAAGCCCGCUCGCCGGAAGACCAAGGGUUCCUGUCCAACGUUAAUCGGGGCAGGGUGAGUCGACCCCUAAGGCGAGGCCGAAAGGCGUAGUCGAUGGGAAACAGGUUAAUAUUCCUGUACUUGGUGUUACUGCGAAGGGGGGACGGAGAAGGCUAUGUUGGCCGGGCGACGGUUGUCCCGGUUUAAGCGUGUAGGCUGGUUUUCCAGGCAAAUCCGGAAAAUCAAGGCCGAGGCGUGAUGACGAGGCACUACGGUGCUGAAGCAACAAAUGCCCUGCUUCCAGGAAAAGCCUCUAAGCAUCAGGUAACAUCAAAUCGUACCCCAAACCGACACAGGUGGUCAGGUAGAGAAUACCAAGGCGCUUGAGAGAACUCAGGUGAAGGAACUAGGCAAAAUGGUGCCGUAACUUCGGGAGAAGGCACGCUGAUACGUAGGUGAAGCGACUUGCUCGUGGAGCUGAAAUCAGUCGAAGAUACCAGCUGGCUGCAACUGUUUAUUAAAAACACAGCACUGUGCAAACACGAAAGUGGACGUAUACGGUGUGACGCCUGCCCGGUGCCGGAAGGUUAAUUGAUGGGGUUAGCGCAAGCGAAGCUCUUGAUCGAAGCCCCGGUAAACGGCGGCCGUAACUAUAACGGUCCUAAGGUAGCGAAAUUCCUUGUCGGGUAAGUUCCGACCUGCACGAAUGGCGUAAUGAUGGCCAGGCUGUCUCCACCCGAGACUCAGUGAAAUUGAACUCGCUGUGAAGAUGCAGUGUACCCGCGGCAAGACGGAAAGACCCCGUGAACCUUUACUAUAGCUUGACACUGAACAUUGAGCCUUGAUGUGUAGGAUAGGUGGGAGGCUUUGAAGUGUGGACGCCAGUCUGCAUGGAGCCGACCUUGAAAUACCACCCUUUAAUGUUUGAUGUUCUAACGUGGACCCGUGAUCCGGGUUGCGGACAGUGUCUGGUGGGUAGUUUGACUGGGGCGGUCUCCUCCUAAAGAGUAACGGAGGAGCACGAAGGUUGGCUAAUCCUGGUCGGACAUCAGGAGGUUAGUGCAAUGGCAUAAGCCAGCUUGACUGCGAGCGUGACGGCGCGAGCAGGUGCGAAAGCAGGUCAUAGUGAUCCGGUGGUUCUGAAUGGAAGGACCAUCGCUCAACGGAUAAAAGGUACUCCGGGGAUAACAGGCUGAUACCGCCCAAGAGUUCAUAUCGACGGCGGUGUUUGGCACCUCGAUGUCGGCUCAUCACAUCCUGGGGCUGAAGUAGAUCCCAAGGGUAUGGCUGUUCGCCAUUUAAAGUGGUACGCGAGCUGGGUUUAGAACGUCGUGAGACAGUUCGGUCCCUAUCUGCCGUGGGCGCUGGAGAACUGAGGGGGGCUGCUCCUAGUACGAGAGGACCGGAGUGGACGCAUCACUGGUGUUCGGGUUGUCAUGCCAAUGGCACUGCCCGGUAGCUAAAUGCGGAAGAGAUAAGUGCUGAAAGCAUCUAAGCACGAAACUUGCCCCGAGAUGAGUUCUCCCUGACCCUUUAAGGGUCCUGAAGGAACGUUGAAGACGACGACGUUGAUAGGCCGGGUGUGUAAGCGCAGCGAUGCGUUGAGCUAACCGGUACUAAUGAACCGUGAGGCUUAACCUUACAACGCCGAAGGUGUUU